UACGGGGGGGGCAAGCGUUGUUCGGAAUUACUGGGCGUAAAGGGCUCGUAGGCGGCCAACUAAGUCAGACGUGAAAUCCCUCGGCUUAACCGGGGAACUGCAUCUGAUACUGGAUGGCUUGAGUUCGGGAGAGGGAUGCGGAAUUCCAGGUGUAGCGGUGAAAUGCGUAGAUAUCAGGAGGAACACCCGUGGCGAAGGCAGCCUUCUGGGGCAUUCCUGACACUGAGAAGCGAAAGCUAGGGGAGCAAACAGG
rnacentral:rRNA from 1 species